GGUAGGUGUGCCUUGAGGACUGGGUUGGGAAACACUGGAAUAGACCAUUUGUCGUUUCAUCAUUGCAUUUAGUAUAAUCAUCAUGGGCCAGGUAGGUAUGCAGACAGACAAAUGGUAAUGAUUAACUUUAAGUACAUUCCAGAGAAGAAAGAAGAGCUUACAUGAUUUUAGAUGCUGAAAAUGUGCGAUAUUUAAUUAAAUACAGUUUGUUUUCAUUAUUUGAGGGAUGGUUUCAAAAAACCACUAUAGUAAUCAAAUAUAUGUGUUAUUCAUCAUGUCUAAUUUCAGUUCUGGAAUGUAUUUAUAACUCUUGUUGGCUUUCUUAUUUUAUGUGUAUUUCCUAUAUUGAUCUGUCUAUCGUUUCCCUAUGGUAACAUUAAAAUCCAUGUACCGUUACAAAAUGUAAUGUACCACAACAGGUGGGAUUUACCUUUAUUUUAGCUUUUACGGUAGGUUUUCAGUAACCCUGUGCUUCUUUGCUGGAGGCCAAGUAGAUAAAGACAUUUUUUUAUUUAUUAAUUUAUUUUAGAAAUAUACUGUUAUCCUAUACACAAAAACAACAGAUAAUGUUAGAACAUGUCACGUUUUCAAGACAAUAAGUCUGCCUUUAAAUGGACAUAACAUGACUACUUUCUAACAUAACAUGACUACUAUUUUUUUGGCAAAUGAGGCCACAUCGAAAAGUAUACUCUCAAGAUCCAGACAUUUAUGAUGUGUAUCUCAGCUUCAUUAAACAUCAAAAUAAAACAGAUACAAAAUAAUUGUUUCUGUAAACAAAUGUUGCAAAUUAAUAGCUCUACAUUCAAAAUGUCUAUAAGCUGAGACACGUACCACAUAUAUUUAUUUAGCAAUAUUUAAAGGAACAAUAUAGUGUCGAGAAUACAAACAUAUUCCUGACACUAUGGUGCUGGAAUGCAGCAUUAGGUUGUUGCCCACCCUCUCUCCGGAGAUUAAAGCUGAUUCCACUCACCUUUUUACCUACACCACGCUGAGCUCACCGCGGCUGGCCUUGCGUGUGCCGCCUCCAUGGCUGUGAUCAUCAGUUUUGAUGAUAUCAGCCAAUCCAAUGCUUUCCCAUAGGAAAGGGAGGCUAUUGUGCAUGUGUAGCACUAACACAGGAAGAACCUCUAGUGGCCGUCUGAGUGACUGCCACUAGAGGUGUAACUAGCCAGCAAUGUAAACACUGCCUUUUCACUGAGGCAAUGUUUACAGUGCUAUGGCUGCAGGGACAUAAUAUAGACACCGGAAACACUGCAUUGUAGUUCUGAUAAUUAUAGUGUCCCUUUAAUAUACUUUCAUAUAAAAUGUGACACAGUUUGCCAUAACCUUUUCCUUUCUCUUCAAUAUGACCAUGUGAUAUACUCAUUGAAAAACAAGAUGCAAGUCAUUAUGGGAAAACCUAUGUAUAUUCCCUCUGGAAGCGUCUCAUAAGAUCCUGCACGUUACGGUUUUUCAUGAUUAGACUUUAAAAGUAAUGCAAUAAAUUAUCAGGAUAACAAGCUAAAGGUAAUAAAAAACGAAAAUCAGCAUCUAUGACAAAUAUCUUAAUAUAAAUAAGAAAAUUUUAUUUGUUGCUUUACAAAAUUAUUUAUAUUUCCCUAUUAUGUUUAAAGCUUACAUUUAAUUAUAUUAUCUUAGUAUUUUAAGUUUAGUUAUUAUUGGCUCAAUUUCAAAAUGAAAAGUUUAUGUUAUUUUUUUUAAACUUCCUGCAUUCUAUGUUUGUUCAAUUAUUUAAUUCCAGAUAAACGUAAAGGAAAAUAAAAAUCAAUAAUAUAAAUCCGGGUGCAUAUAUAGUAAAUGUAGCUGAAGUCCACACAAUAAAUAUAGUGAUCGUGUGCUAUAAAUCUAAGCAGUUCAUGGACGCAGUUAAUGGUGCUCUGUUUACAAAAUUUCUAUCUAUCCAACCUGUAGCUUUUGGGACCAAACAGGAGCUUUUCUGCACGCACUUUUUUCUAGGAACACUGAGCUGGUUAUUAUCUAUUACAAACACUGCUUGCCUCUUAACUGCACCCUGUACACAUAUAGAAGCAUGGUCUAAAUUUGCUGCGUGGUUCACCAUCACGAACAUGUCACGUUGUAAGCCACUACUACUCUUAGUAAUAUGUAGAACUGCUGCAAACUGAAGUAAAACAAGGGUUAUUUAUAAACAGCAAUUCUGAGUCCAUCAGGAGAAACAUUCUAUUGGUUUCCAUGGUAAUUGCUUUACUUACGCAAGUUACACUACAAUUGCUGUUUAUACAUAUCUCUUUCUCCAUUUUGUACACAGCUGUAAUUGAGCAUCUCCAAAUUCAAUGGAUUAGUAUUAAUCUCUGAUCCAAUGUCGCUUUAUGAAAUAGCAAUGGAUAAUAUUUAAUUUAUCACUCAGACAUUCUCAAUCCUUCCUGUAUUAAAGGAAUUAAAUUCUCUUUGCUUGAAUGAGCCCCACUGGCAUAUUAUCUUGUCUUGUAUUCCACUUGGGAAGUGUGAUGUCUGACAAUCGUGAAAAUGAUGGUCUUUAGUCUUUCCAUAUGUAUAUAAUUUCCCAUAGAUGACAUUUCCCUGUAUUGUGAUGUCUGAAAACAAUGUAAAUAUUAAUUUGUGCAACUGCACUGGAAUCUUUCUGCCUCUGUUUACUUCUGUACCUGCAAAAUAAACUGGCUUCGCGGUGGGAUGUGAAAUGU